rfam:Ictidomys tridecemlineatus contig017816, whole genome shotgun sequence.
AAGACUAUGCCUUCAGAAAUUAUUUCUAUUAUUCGUUCCUGGAGAAAUUUCUCUGACCUUGUAGAGUACUGGAACCAUGAUGAAAGGGUCCAGAGUUCCCUCCUGAGGGUGAAGGCAGCUCUUGGCGUUGCUUUGCUACAAACGUUUUUUGGCCAUUGACGUCAUUUCUUCUCUCCUAUAUUUUGGGAAGGUGAGAAGAGGGAAAUGCUUCUGAGAUAU